rnacentral:rRNA from 1 species
GACGAACGCUGGCGGCGUGCUUAACACAUGCAAGUCGAACGGAAAGGCCUCAGAUUGCUGGGGUACUCGAGUGGCGAACGGGUGAGUAACACGUGGGUGAUCUGCCUUGCACUCUGGGAUAAGCUUGGGAAACUGGGUCUAAUACCGGAUAUGAACUGCCUUUAGUGGGGUGGUUGGAAAGAUUUUUCGGUGCAAGAUGAGCUCGCGGCCUAUCUGCUUGUUUGUGGGGUAAUGGCCUACCAAGGCGUCGACGGGUAGCCGGCCUGGGAGGGUGUACGGCCAAAUUGGGACUGAGAUAAGGGCCAGGACCCUACGGGGGGCAGCAGUGGGGAAUAUUGCACAAUGGGCGGAAGCCUGAUGCAGCGACGCCGGGUGGGGGAUGACGGCCUUCGGGUUGUAAACUCCUUUCGACAGGGACGAAGCUUUUUGUGACGGUACCUGUAUAAGAAGCACCGGCUAACUACGUG